UACGGAGGAUCCAAGCGUUGUCCGGAUUUAUUGGGUUUAAAGGGUGCGUAGGCGGUCCUAUAAGUCAGUUGUGAAAUACGGCAGCUUAACUGUCGAGGUGCAAUUGAUACUGCAGGACUUGAGUACAGACGAGGUAGGCGGAAUUGACGGUGUAGCGGUGAAAUGCUUAGAUAUCGUCACGAACACCGAUAGCGAAGGCAGCUUACUAGACUGUAACUGACGCUGAUGCACGAAAGUGUGUGGAUCAAACAGU
rnacentral:rRNA from 1 species